GGAUGUGAGGACGAUCUGCUGCGACAUCUGUCAGCCCACUGAUUGCCAGGGUUGAUUCGGCUAAUCUGGCUGACUGGGCAGGUAUCCCCUUCCUCCCUCACCGCUCCAUGCACAUCCCUCCCGAAGCUUCAAGCCUUCCCAGAAUAGAGACGGACUGGUCUUUGACUGAGGGUGUAUGGGUAGUUGCACUCCCCUGCUAGAACCUCCAAACAAGCUCUCAAAAUCAAGACUAAAUUUUUUAUUUUUCAAAAUUGUCAGAACCUAUGUGCAAAGUGAUCCUUAAGUAGCUUCUAGAGUUUCUGACUGUAA
ensembl:misc_RNA 7SK 7SK RNA